rnacentral:lncRNA from 1 species
GCAAACAACCCCGGGCUCCCUCCAGCUGUGAAGCGGAAGGAACCGGAGGGGGGAUGGAACCUCCACUCAGGGGUAGGAAUAUAUAAGCAAUCAACGUGGCGGUGAUUGUUAUAUAUACAUGAGUAUUUGUUAUUUGUGUACAGUCAACCUGGGACAGCUCUGACACCCAGUGGAGUCCGCCAGGCAAUUUUUUUUGUGAACGACUCCAACUUAGCCUAAUGGUGAGCAGUUCGUGACCUUCUCUUUCACCGAAGGACACCUCUUUCUAGUUCUUUUCAACCUGGCAAGAUGGCAAGCUAUUGGGCGAAUUAAGUACGAGCUUGGACUUCGAUCAAAUCGACAGUUUGAUGACAUUUGGCAUGAGAACUGACAGUUCUUGAUUUUAGGACAUAAAAAUUGGGUCAGAAAGAGACGUGAGCACAUGGCCUUU